rnacentral:rRNA from 1 species
GACAGAGGGUGCAAACGUUGUUCGGAAUUACUGGGCGUAAAGCGCGUGUAGGCGGCCCUGCAAGUCGGAUGUGAAAUCCCACGGCUCAACCGGGGAAGUGCAUUCGAAACUGCAGGGCUAGAGUCCUGGAGAGGAAGGUGGAAUGCUUGGUGUAGAGGUGAAAUUCGUAGAUAUCAAGCGGAACACCGGUGGCGAAGGCGGCUCACUGGCCCGAUACUGACGCUGAGGUGCGAAAGCGUGGGGAGCAAACGGG